rnacentral:rRNA from 1 species
ACUGCUCAGUAACACGUGGAUAACUGCCCAAGGGUCUGGGAUAACCCCGGGAAACUGGGGAUAAUACCGGAUGGAUCACUAGUGCUGGAAUGCUUGGUGGUCGAAAGGCAACGCCUUUGGAUGGGUCUGCGGCGGAUUAGGUUGACGCCGGUGUAACGUACCGGCGUGCCUGUAAUCCGUACGGGUUGUGGGAGCAAGAGCCCGGAGAUGGAUUCUGAGACACGAAUCCAGGCCCUACGGGGCGCAGCAGGCGCGAAAACUCUACAAUGCAGGCAACUGCGAUAGGGGGACAUCGAGUGGCAUCCACCUUGGGUGCCUGUCCAACCGUCUAAAAAACGGUUGUUAGCAAGGGCCGGGUAAGACCGGUGCCAGCCGCCGCGGUAAUACCGGCGGCUCGAGUGGUGGCCGAUAUUAUUGAGUCUAAAGGGUCCGUAGCCGGCUUUGCAAGUCCCCUGGGAAAUCCAGCGGCUUAACCGUUGGGCUUUCAUGGGAUACUACAUUGCUUGGGACUGGGAGAGGUAGGAGGUACUCGGGGGGUAGGGGUGAAAUCCUGUAAUCCUCCGGGGACCACCGGUGGCGAAGGCGUCCUACCAGAACAGGUCCGACGGUGAGGGACGAAAGCUAGGGGCACGAACCGGAUUAGAUACCCGGGUAGUCCUAGCCGUAAACGAUGCCCGCUAGGUGUCACGACGGUCGUGAAUCGUCGUGGUGCCGUAGGGAAGCCGCGAAGCGGGCCACUUGGGAAGUACGGCCGCAAGGCUGAAACUUAAAGGAAUUGGCGGGGGAGCAC